rnacentral:misc_RNA from 1 species
GAAGGGAGACAUCAAAUGUUUUCAUAAACUUGAGGAGGCAAUGAACUCAUCUCUUUUGCAAUUCCAGACUCAGAAAGUGAUGGAUUAGUAAAUUCAUUUGAUUAUUAAUUUGUUAGAUGUGAUUUGUGGCAGAGAGAAAAUUAAAUAUUAAACUAGUUAUUUAUUAAAAAUCAUGCACGAUCACAGCUUCGACCUGUAUGUACAUUCUGUGAAAAAUUUGUAGGUAAUGUUAAUGUCAUGUAUCUACAUGCAGGAGUAGAUCACUGUGGUUGUG